rnacentral:tRNA from 1 species
GCGGGUCUUGGGUAUCGUUUACACCUUUUUAGGUGCAAUUACAAUACUAACAGUUGAUUUGUAAUCAUCAGGCCAGGGGUUCGAAUCCUCUAACCGGCACCA